AUACUUACCCGGCAAGAGCGACACCAUGAUCAAGAAGGUGGUUCACCCAGGUUGAGGUUCAGCCUUUGCACUCUGGUUGUGCUGACCCCUGCCAAUUCCCCAAAUGUGAGAAUCUCAACUGCAUAAUUUCUGCUAUUGGGGGAAUGUGCUCAUGCUCUUCAC